rnacentral:rRNA from 1 species
AACGCGAAGAACCUUACCUGGGCUCGAACGGCUUCAGACCAUCUUUGGAAACAGGGACUUCCCGCAAGGGACUGGAGUCGAGGUGCUGCAUGGCUGUCGUCAGCUCGUGUCGUGAGAUGUUGGGUUAAGUCCCGCAACGAGCGCAACCCUUGUCCUGUGUUGCAACUAAUAGGCACUCUCAGGAGACCGCCAGCGAUAAGUUGGAGGAAGGUGGGGAUGACGUCAAGUCAUCAUGGCCUUUAUGUCCAGGGCUACACACGUGCUACAAUGGGCGGUACAAAGCGCUGCCAACCCGCGAGGGGGAGCAAAUCGCAAAAAACCGUCCUCAGUUCGGAUUGCAGGCUGCAACUCGCCUGCAUGAAGCUGGAAUCGCUAGUAAUGGCAUAUCAGAACGAUGCCGUGAAUACGUUCCCGGGCCUUGUUACACACCGCUCGCGA